rnacentral:rRNA from 1 species
UAACCUGCCCAAGAGAUCGGGAUAACACCUGGAAACAGAUGCUAAUACCGGAUAACAACAGAUGAUGCCUAUCAACUGUUUAAAAGAUGGUUCUGCUAUCACUCUUGGAUGGACCUGCGGUGCAUUAGCUAGUUGGGUAGGGUAACGGCCUACCAAGGCGAUGAUGCAUAGCCGAGUUGAGAGACUGAUCGGCCACAUUGGGACUGAGACACGGCCCAAACUCCUACGGGAGGCAGCAGGC